UCUAUCAGCGUAACAGGGUGAGGGUUUCGGUGCAAAGGAGGAGCCUCAUGGAAAGAAUCCAAGUGAUGUGUGGAAAAAGCCUUCUCCACACCACCGGAGCCCUCACACCACUCUGGGUCCCAGGCCUCACCCACAACAGCUGCCUCUCUGCUACAAAGGUGAAGAAGCCAAUCUUAUGUCCUGGAGGAGACCAGGGCAACUAUAUGGCUAAAAGCACCAACACGAACAGAGCCCCCUCCCCUUGGAAUGAGCCCAGAUUCCCUCGAUCUCCACCCGUGGAGGCUGCCUGGAAAGAGGCUCCACAGGCAUCCCUCAUUUUAUGUAUUUACGUAUUUCAAACGUUUAUAUAGCUACCCAGCUUGGCAGCUCACAAUCGAGAGAUAAAAUAAGAUACGUUUACCAUUAAACGAUAUUAAAAUGUUAAGGCAUCCACAGCAGAGGUCAAACAGCAGCCAAAUGCCCUUUCACAAAUUCAGAGAGGCAAUCUCUGGCAUUCCAGCCACUUUGCCAUGGCCAUGCUGAGAAUUGUAGUUCCGGAGCGGCACUGACUGUUCAGGCCAUGAAGCUGAGCCACCAAUAGCAAUAGCACUCAGACUUAUAUACUGCUUUACAGUGCUUGUACAGCCCUCUCUAAGCAGUUUACAGAGUCAGUCUCUUGCCCCCAACAAUCUGGGUCCUCGUUUUACCGACCUCGGGAGGAUGGAAGGCUGAGUCAAUCUUAAGCCUGGUCUGAGUCAAUCUGCCAAACUGCUGGCAGCCAGUGAUCCACAGAAGCAGCCUGCAGUACUGCACUCUAACCACUGCGCCACCACAGCUCAUACCAAGUUGUGAGUCAUCUUGCUUUGAUUAAACUCACCACUUGAACUACAGCUGCAGAUGGGGCCUUUUGGCAGCAGCAUCAAGUGGCACCAAGGCAGGAGCGAGAGGGCAAUGCCUGCCAAACUAUAUCUCCUAAGCGCCAUGUAGACUCCUAGAGAACUGAGUGAUGGGCAGAAUCGCCCUUCUUUUUCUUGCACUAAAAGAAACCAUAGCACAAGGUGCUCUUUGGUGUCCCUGAUGUAGUGUUGACAUUAGAGAGCUCUUCUUUCUGAGCCCUCCCUAUUCCCCAAAGGCCGGGCCACUCCAGAGCAUGCCUUCCCCUCAACAGAGAACAAUCUCCCAGGGAAAUAGGAAAUAUAAAUGAAUAAACAAAGAACAAGCCACUUUUGCCCUGAGGAGGGAAAAGAAAAAAGCGUUCAGAUCGAGCAGGACAUUCUCUAGAGCAGCGGUCUCCAACCUUGGCAACUUUAAGGCUUGUGGACUUCAACUCCCAGAGUUCCUCAGCCGGCUUUGCUGCUGGCUUUUCCAUGGAGCGGCUUCCUGGCCUGGAAAGCCUGUGGCGCUUCUGCUGCUGCUAAGGGUGGGCUCAGUUCUGGAGAGCUUUGUCACAACAUGAUAUACAAGCACAUAUAAUGAAAGAAAACAAUAGGACAGGAACGGUAGGCACUUUUGUGCACUUAUGCACGCCCAUAACCUCGCCCAGCCCCAUGGCCGCCCCUCUCUUCCAAGCCACUCUCUGCUCUUCCCAAUGGCCACCACUACCGCCACCCCUCCCUCUCCCAAGAGAUAAAGCCGCUUGGAACAAGGUGGGGAAGGACCUCAGGCUCCCCCUGGGAGUGGGCAAGCCCCCCCCCUACCCUCAGACUCAAGGCCCCAUUGAGAAGUUCAGCCUAGACAACAGAGGCUUAAGUUGCCUCCUCCUCCCCUCGUCCACUCCUUGUGCCCCUUAGGCUCUUUCUCAGAAAGCAUUCUGAAUUGCAAGAGGUCUGCUCAGGCCCCCAGAGACAAAGGACCAGCACAGAUUUACACAAGGCGCUAAUGCAGCAUCCAAGGUUGCCUUGGUAACCACAGAAUCUGGGCUUAACUCAGCAGCCCUGCCUCUCCUGAUUUCUCUCCGCCCCCCUCACCAGAAAUGGCUGACCCUUUCCUCCUCCCUUCAAGCAACAGGGCUGCUGCCUUUGCCACUGCACCCCGCCUUGUACCCCCAAAUCAGCUGGGCAAAAAAGUGGGCAAAGAAAGGGAGCCAAGGAGGGUCGUCUCUUUCACCAAACACCAUUCCUGGCUUUCCACAUUUCUCCAUAACAGAAAGUUGGCGCAGUCAGGCCCCACCCCGACCCCAAAGCCAGACCGCACCGAUUGCUGCUGCUGUGGACGGGGACCCCACAGACAUACGGUCCAUGUCUGCGUGCAUAAUUUCUGCCGCAGAAGACCUUUUGCACCUCGCUGAUGUUCUGAGUUACGUGGAAAUGCUGCCAAAGCAACAGGCCCAGGAUUGGCCAGGCCUCGCCGAGAGCAGCUGUGGCCUUGCUCCUCCAAUGGCAGGAUGGCACAAGAGGAGCUCAGCAGAUGCCACCUUCACCUGAGCACGGCAGCUGUACUCCUGAAGAUGGCCGGGAAGGCUUCGCCCAAGAAAGCCUCAAGAGUGUAGGGUGGUCGGGCAAUCCGUAGCUGGGGAGCUACCUCCUCAUAGGCGGCCAUGCUUAGGACUUCGCACCCUCACCCAGCCCAACAUGCAGCAUUCAUCUCCUUUCCACUGAAACUGGUUAUGAAGUCGAAUCCCAAGAGUUAGACGUUGUCUGUCUGUGUGUCUGUCUGUGUGAACAGAUGGCGUUCUGCUUUCUCCUGUACGAAGCAAGCAAAAAAGGAGCCAAAUUCUUAAGAAGCCAACCCACCUUCCACAGCUGAACAAAAGGCAGAGCCUCACUGGAGGUCUCCCCCUGCCACUGCCCCCACUUAAAGCACUGCUUUAACCAGCACAACUGGAAGGGAGUGGAUGAGAUUCCCCUUCCCCAGCUCAGCCUUGGCUUUUCAGGUAGGCAACACCAACUAUGCACAAAGAAACGAACAAGAAUGACGACGCAGAACCCGGAGGCUCUCCUGGCCCAUGGGAAGAAAGGAAAGAGGGGAAAGCCAGCCACUACAGAAUGACAACUCAGAAAUCCCUCAAUAUCCCUGACAAUGUUCUCUUCUACUACUAGUACUACUAGAUCAUCAUCUACUACUACUACUACUACUACUACUUUUGUGUCAGAAGCACCCUUACCAAGGCACUUCUGGGUUGAAAGCAUUAACCAGUGACAUUACCGUUGCCCAGGGAAUGCCAGAGGGGGCUCCUUUUAUGUCCCCAGUAUUUUCCCACCCACGUGGUACCUAUUUAUCUACUUGCAUUUGCAUGCUUUCGCUCUGGGACAAACUGACUGGAGCUCUGGGGUUCUGAACUGCUGAGUCGUCAGCCUUUCCAUGAUCUUCUGACUCAGCAUCCUAGACACAUGAAUCACCGCAGCCCCCAUGUCCCUGUCUGUGAGAACAAAGCAAAAGUUGAAACAAACGCUAUUUCUAAAGACAUCAUCAGGUGUCUGGUGCUCGUGAUCCUGAGGAAUGGGUGGGCCAGAGGGACUUGCUGGCAAAAGUCAAGGAAACGAUUGGAAAAAAAUCAAGGGAGUGAUCAGGCCACUAAUGGGAGAAGAUGGCCAGAAGAUAAAAGACAGCAGGGAAAAAGUGGAACUAUGGAAUUCCUUUUUUGCAUCUCUCUUUACGCUAAAGGGAAAAAACCGAGUCCUAUCAAAAGCAGUACUGUACAAGACAGAUUAGGAAUACAAGUCAAAGUGGACAAGAAAAUAGUAAGACAACACCUGUCCAUUGUAGACAAGUUCAAACCACCAGGCACCAGAGGGAUUACAUCCUAGAGUUCUGCAGGAGCUGGCAGCUGUGAUCUCGGAACCACUGAACCAUGUCUUUCAAAGCUUCUUGAGCACCAGGGAAAUAUCAGAGGGCUGGAAAGAGUUGAUGAUGUGAUACCAAUCUUCAAACAAGGGGGGGGAAAGGAUCCAGGAAUUUACAGACCAAUCAGCCUGACAUCAAUACCUGGGAAGAUCCUGGAAAAGAUAAUCAAGCAAUGGAUUUUCAAACAACUAAAAACAAACAAAGCUAUUACCAGAAGCCAACAUGGGUUUGUCAAAAACAGAUCAUGCCAGACAACCCUUAUUGCAUUCUUUGUCGAAGUGACUAAAUUAAUGGACCAGAAAAAUGCUGUGGAUAACGUAUACUUGGAUUUCAGUAAGGGAUUUGACAAAGUAGACCACAACCUAUUUCUUGAUAAGAAAGAAAAAACAUGGGAUAGACAGGAUCACCACCAGAUGGAUUCGUAACUGGCUGGAUCUUCCCUGGGUCUCUUCCCUGCUCUGCUGGCACCAGAAAUGUUUGCUUGAUAUGCAGCAAUUUGAUUACCUUUCCAUCAGCAAGUCUGCAAACCAGGCACCCUGACAGUCUCCCAGCAAACUUUCAGGGCUCUGCCUUAAAAUUGCCCAGAGAAAGAGAAGACCUGGCACAGCAGGUUGACCUCUUGGUCAACCUUUUACUACUCAAUGCCAAGAAAUAUGGCCACGGUGCAUCUGCUUAACUAGGUGCUUAUUAAGAUCAGAGUACAUCAUCUAUAGAUGAAUAUUCUAGAAGUUUGCCAUUGUGACAGCAGCCCAAGUGUUGUUUAAGACAUGCCAAGAAAUACAAAAUAGGUUUUCACGACUGCAUAACACAGAGAGAAGCAGAUGGGAAUUCUUGAAACCAUGGUCCAUUGCCAGGAAAAAGAAAAGAGGGGGAUGCAUGAAGAGGGGACUCCCAAAGGCCUCUGAAAAAGCAGACACCAGAAAGAAGCAGCUGAUUAGACCUGCGGAGCUGCAACCAGAUUUGUCAGGAAAUCAUCAGGAACGUCAGGGGUCAAGCAUGGAGCCGGGGCAGGGGGCAGCUGCUUGUGAACUAAAAUCAAGAGGGAGAAAAUCUCUAUUCAGAUUAUAAAGGAGGAAGGAAGGAAGGAAAAGCAGAACGGUGGCUAGACUGAAAAUCACGUGUUAUAUGUUGUUCUCCCACAGCACUUUUGGGGAAACCGGAAAGGGGGUAAAACUGGCAAAUGAAGGACAAGCGUUGAAUCACGAAGUGGUUCUAGGAGGUGAUCAAGUCCAACUUCUUCUAUGCUGCAGGAUUCACCAGAGGCAAAUGGUGAUCCUUUGAAAACCUCCCGGGGGGGGGGGAAACUCCCAUCCACCCAGGAACCAUUUCUGGAUCUGUCACACUGAAAGAUUGCUCCGAGAGUCUCUUCUGUUUUUGGUCUCACGUUCCACUUGACAAAUGAAAAAUCUGGAUAAAGAAAAAUAUUGUUGAGAAUAUAUUGCUUCACCAAUAAAUAAAAGUGCAGAUGAUUGUCACCUAUUCUUUAAAGUGGGAUUAAGAAGGGCCCACUUAUAGAAAUAGGGAAAAAGAUUGGGACAAGAAUCUUUCCACUGGGGGAGUCCAUGUUCUCCAACGUUCAGGCAUUCUGUGUCCUGGGCCGAUGGGGGCUGCCCCUCCUUUCUUCCAAGCCUCCAUGCCCCAGAUAAAGAGGGGGAGGAAACCCAGACCAACUGAGAGGGAUAACCAAGCCUCAGACUUGACAGAUGAAGAGAGGGGGGUGGUCAAAUCCCACCCAGAAAUCCUUGCAUAUUGUGCCCCAACCCUGAGACCAAGCCAGGAUCCGGAGCCCGCAUCUCUUGAAGGAUGUAGACUGAUUUGGGACUUGAAAGGGGGCCCCAAGAAAACGGUUUUGGAACGAAGGUUCUUUGGGAAAGCGAAUGGAGCAAAGACGAAAGAAUAAAAGCUUGUUGAGGAGAAAUGGCAUAAAAGAAGCAGAAACACCUUCCCUGCUGCUAUGGAUGACAGAACUAGAUCUAACACACUUCAUGGUAGACGAGCUUUUGAACAAUAGGACAACCUUCAUCCUGGGAUGAACCAGAGAGGAUGAACAGAAGAGAAGUCGCUCCCUUGUUGGAGUAGUCAAGAAGAAGGCAGGCAGCCAUCUGUGGGGAUAAGUCCUCUGAAGCACUGCAGAAUCAGGCCAGUAGGUAGAAGGAAAAGAUUGAAAAGGAUACUAACAAAUCUCCCGGCUUUCUUUAAAUGAGAAUAGAAGGAAAUGAAUCAGAGAGUAUACCAGCCAGUUGAAGACCCCAAAAAAGGGCUAAUAAGGAAAAAGCAAACCUAUCAUCUCAAUUUUGUCUCAAGGAAAGGGAAAGUGUGCCACAAGAAAGAGGAGGAGGAUGGGGCAAGUCUUCAAAGCUGACAGGAGCUUGGUCAACCAACUCUUCUCUACUCUGUAUUGAGUUCACAUCAUCAGGGACAAGAGCACAUGGAGGGACACCUGGCUGACCACCUGGGAAAAAAGUAAGCAUGAACCAAAAAAAUAAUAAUCCUAGAAAUAGGUGAAGAUCCAGGAAAUGACAGUCUUGACAUCAAAAUCAUUUUCACAGGUAUCUAUGUCAGCCUGAAAAUAAUUAUACCCAAGAACUAAUCUCCCAGAGCUCUGAUUAAUAGGACUUAUUAUAAAGUUCACAAUUCUGCUGAGUACUCUAUUUUGAAAUUAUAAACCUAUAUAUAGGCAAAGCAUAGGCAAAUUAGAGCAGGACAGUUCCAGUUCUUUUUCUCAUGCUGUUUCAGGGGAAAAGUGGGGGGGGGGGAAUUUCUCUCUCUUAGGAAGAAGGAGCAACUGUUGAUCGCUUUGGAAACAGAUCUGAGAUCUAUCUUUUAAAAGGAUCUUAGAUCAAUGACUUGGAACAAACUAUAGAAGUCAUCUACAGAUAAGUCCUCACAACCUUACAACCACAAUGGGGCUCAGAAUUUUAGUUGUAAGUUGUUACGGUUGUAAGUCAAAGCACCCCAUAGGUGAAUUUUACCAUGGUCAUAAAGUGAGUCACUGAGGUCAUUAACCGAAUACAGCAUAUUCAAUGGAUACUUUUUGCUGAUCUUUGCCAGAAAAUGCCAAAAAAAAACAAAAACCUACCAAAUUGUGGUUAUGUGACCCCAGGGUGCUGCAACUGAUCAAAAGUGCAAGAACCAGCUGCCUCGUACCCAAAAUGUGAUCACGUUAGUGGCAGGGGCGGGGUUAGUUGUAACUUCAAAGACGGGAUAUAAGUAACUUCUUAAAAGCCCAUCAAAACUUUGAACAGUUAUUAAGCAACUGGUCAUAAACUCCGCCCUCCCUGUAGUUCAAAUCCUUCCACAGGGCAAGACCCACAGCAGCACCUCCAACAGAGGACCAUCCAGCAGCCUCUUCAAUGAAGGAGAACAUCAUCACCCAUGGCAACCAGUUCUAACACCUUCUAGCCUCCACUGGGAGAAUCUCACUUCUGGAAGGAGCCUGUUUGGCUGACUGGACAGCGUCUACAAUUCUACAGGAACUUCCUCGCCAGUUCCAGCCCAAACCUCUUCCCGUACACUUCUAGCUCCAUUGGGUUUUGUAUGUUGCCCUCUGGGGCAAGAGAAGAUAAAUCCACUUGUUCUUCUGAUGGAUGCUCCUGUCUCCCCUUAGCUGUAUUUCCUUUAGGCUAAACAAGCCAGGUUUUUUAACUUGGUUUCAAGAUACUUGACUAUCUUGGUAGCAGCUGUUGGACUUUGAUCCAAUGUGUUACCAUCCUUUUUGAAACCAAAACGAGGCACAAUAUUGCAAGUGAGGCCUGAUCAGAACAGAGCGGAGCCAUUCUGUAAGCCUACCGCAUUCUUCGAUGUGGUAAGUUCUUGGGUAGCUUAUGGUAAGCUUACCAUAAGCUUACACGCUGUCAGUGUAAUAUGCCUUCAUUUCAGGAAAGUGCUUAAUGAAGUACCUUUCUUCCUCCUUUCCAUUCAAUUGUGUCAGUCCUUAGAGGUUGCCUAGACAAGUCCCUGCAGUUUUCCCGGCUAGGUUUUCCAGAAGUGCGUUGCCAUUGCCUCCUUCCUAUGGCUGAGAGAGAGCGGCUGGCCUGGCUUUGUGCCUAAGGCAGAAGCAGAACUCAUAUUCUCUUUAACAACUUGUUAAGUACUGGCUUAUGUCUCUCAGGUGGCUCCACAGUUGAUCGAAAGCCCAAACUCAAAGAAUGCUCAUCAGUUAUUUUAAUCAAGGAAAUGAGUUACUAAACGAAGUUUACUGGGCCCUACAUUCUUCAAUGUUUUCAUUAAUGACUUCAAUUAAGAGAUAGAAGAAAUGUUUAACCAAUGUGCUGAUGAAACAAAAUUGGAAAGGUAGAUGCCCUAAAACAGUGUUUCUCAAUCUUGGCAAGUUUAAGAUAGGUGGACUUCGACUCCCAGAAUUCCCCAAUCAGCCAGCCGCCCUAGAAGACAGAAAUCAAACAGGAAUGUACCAUAUAGGAUGAGGGAUGCCUUGCUUGCAUUUAAAAAAUGGAAAUAGUAACCAAGGGGCUGCGAAGGGGAACGUGCCAUUUCUGGCUACAACAACAGAAGCAGAAUUCCCAAUUCCAAAUUACAGAAUUUGAAAUUGGUCAGAACUCACCUUGCCUACCUUGGCACUUUAAGACAGGGUCAAAGAAAAGCAAGGAGUCACGCAAUUCCUACCCUCCAAUAUUGCUAGAGGGAAGCCUGACUCAUCCACCUAACUUCCAAGUUGCAGGAAUGCGUUGAUUGGAAUCACUGCUCUAUCCGAGGAGCAGCGAGAGGCACUGCCAUCCUGAAGCAAAGGCGGGGCUGGAAAAAAACACCACCCAGGCAUCUUCCAAGACCGAGGGUGGACCUGCCCCACACCUUCAUCCCAGCACCAGCUGGCUCCCAGUUCAGAAAAUGAGCAGGCCUCCUGGUCCUGGGGCUAGCUCUGACUGACAGGUGGAGCUAGCUGUACCACAGCACCAACCACUUCUAAAAGGCGCAGGCAUUGGAAAGACCUUCACCUGGCUGAGAAAUGUGUGAACACGCCCUUCUCGGCAAAUCCAGGCAGAUCUCAGGUUCAUUAAGGAAUUCUUGCUGAAAACAGCCAGGGGCCUUUGCGGAGGAGGAAGAGAAGGAGAAGGAGGAGAAGGAGGCCUCCUGCCUGCAGCGCACUUUCCCAGAGCAGAUACAGCAACAGCCAUCCCUCCUAUGAACCUCUGAUUAAAGACCCAGCAGAAAGUGCAUCAAGUGAGGAAGGGGCCCAUCAGCCACCACUCUGACACACAAUGGGGGUCAUAGGGCAAGUCCUCCCAGAGCUAGGCCAGUGGGGGGGGGCUGGACUAGAAGACCUCCAAGGUCCCUUCCAGCUCUAUUCUAUUCUAACUAACUAGAUUACCUGCCAGCUGAAGAUGAAAAGACUGUGUAUAUUUCAUCAAGACGACAAUCCAAAACAUGCCUCCAAACGAUCCAUGAAAUGCAGGAAGGAAAGAGAAAGAUUUGAGCAAAUGUCAUCAUCUGAACUUGACGUGGUGGCGCAGUAGUUAGAAUGCAGUAUUUCAAGCUAAUUCAGCUCAACGCCAGGCGUUCGAUCCUGACCAGGUCAAGGUUGACUCAGCCUUCCAUCCUUCCGAGGUGGGUAAAAUGAGGACCCAGAUUGUUGGGGGCAAGAGACUGACUCUGUAAACCCCUUAGAGAGGGCUGUAAAGCACUCUAAGUGGUAUAUAAAUCGAAGUGCUAUUGCUAUUAAAUACUGAAAAUCUAAUCUCAAAUAUGCAGUGUAGGCAAGGAGACCUAAGAAGCAGGAUAGGGAGAUGUUUUUGAACUUUGGUGUGGGGGAAGAGUCCAGAGAAGCCGGUGGACAGCCAAAACAGUAACCCUAGGGAACAUCAAAUCAGCCCAGAGUUCUCACGCCAGACACAAAUCACCCAGGCUCAAAUUAUCCUACGAUCGGAUACUGGGCUUCUCUCCCAGUAGCAGCUGCCUCCUUCCAUCCUCUCCAGGGGCCUGGGUGAAGCCACUCCUGCAGCCAGCCAGCCAUGGCCUUCCUUCCUGUUCUUGGACCCUGCAGAGAGCUCCCCUCCCCUCUCCUUUUUUCAGGGAAGACCCAACUUCUCUCCAGCUACUCUGUCCAUUCAACUGCAGUCUUUUACACCCUCCCUCUCAUUUUUGGUUAGACUGACAGCAUGUCCCGCAUCAACCAAAGAGGUGGGAGUCCCUCAGAGCUCCAGUCCCCAUGCACCAACUAGACGCCUGGCUCCAAAGCUACCCACACCAGCCUGGGCUAGCAGCCAGACCAGCGUGUCAGCCUCGUAAUGGAGCAGCUGCACUCGAAGGCCAAAAAUGACAAGGUUUUUUUCCCUCUUUUUCUUUACUCAAGCGGUUGGUUCCUGCCAGAAGAACUGCAGCCAGGCCAGGCCACAUAUGGCAUAAAUAUGACCAACAAUGCCUAAAUAUUGCUACAACUGCAUCUUUUUCAAUAAACUAGCAUGCACUGAUUAAACUCUUUGGAUAAAUGGCCCAAGAAGUGAUACUACUACCACUAAAUGCAUCUAAAAGAAACAGUUCAGAAUUUCUUGCCAAAGGUGGAGAAAUAUGCAUUCCUAGGAUAUAAGAUCUUUGGGGCAACCUCUCAGACUCAUUUAGUGGACCAGCAAAAUGCAGUCGACAUAGUAUACUUGAGUUCCAAUAACAUUUGACAAAGUAGACUACAACCUACUUCUUGGUAAGCUAGAAAAAUAUGGGAUAGACAGCAUCACCACCAGAUGAAUUCAUAACUGGCUGACAAGCUGCAUUGAGCACUGUAGUCCUCAAUGGAAUCGCAUCUACACAGAGGGAGGUAAGCAGUAGAGUAACCCAAAGUUUGAUUUUAGAUCCAGUACUCUUCAAUAUCUUCAUCAAUAAUUUAGAUGAGGGCAUAGAAUAGUGGAACCUGGCUCAACCACAGCAAAUGCGAGAGGAAUCUAGGAGUCCUAGUAGACAACCACUUAUAUAUGAGCCUGCAGUGUGCUGCAGCUGCUAAAAAAGCCAAUGCAAUCCUAGGCUGCAUUAACAGAGGGAUAGAAUCAAGAUCUCAUGAAGUAUUAGUACAACUUCAUAAAGCCCUAAUAAAACCACACAGCAGCAUAAAUUUCUGUGAGGAGAAAUGUAAAACCCGAUUUUUGGGUAGAAGGAAACUAAGGCACCACCUGGAGCAAACACACACUGAACAACAGUCAGCUGCAAACAAUGCAAAAUCAAUCCUAGCAUGCAUCAACAGAAACACAGUAUUAUCCUCAAGAAAAAUGACCGUCUCUCUCAAUUCUGCGUUGGUCAUAUUUUAUGUAAAAUAUUCUGUAGAUCUAGAUCUGUAUGGAACAGCAGAUCAGAAAUAUUCCCUAAAAUUAGAGCCCCAGGACCAACUUCUCUGGGAGGCAGUAGAUUCUUCUGUCCUCAAGAUGUUCAAAGAGAAACUAGGUGGAGGUAUGCUGCAGUACUGGGCAGAUCUCCAAUGUUAUGACCGCAGGAGAGGUUUCUUCUAAACAAGCAGUUUCUGUGAUAGCAUCCAGCAGAAGAUGACACAUAAAUGGGGAUCAAGCUUGGUGAAUUGUCAAAGCAGUCCCAGACCAAGCAAGAAAAAGGGGACCCAUCAGCCAAGUGUCUUGAUUCUUCCCCCAAAGCCCUUCCAUCAAGAGCAGAGAUCCCCAAACUUGGCAGCUUUAAGACUUGUGGACUUUAACUCCCAGAAUUCUCCAGAAGUCUUAAAGCUGCCAAGUUUGAAGACCUCUAAUCAAGAGGCUCAUAAAGCCACUGGAAAGUUAGGAGAAAGCCGUAUGGUCACCAGCACCUCCAUUCCAGGGUGGAGAAGCUCUUGGGCUCUGUGUUCCUUGAAGGAGCUCUUUGGCCAGCCCCCAUCACUAUGGGACAACUCUAGGCCCAAAAGGAAACGGAUGUCCCACCACCUGGUAGGGGGAGACUGAGCUGCCUAAGGCUCAGCCACGCAACCCAAUAGUUUCCCAGGGUUUUUCUGCCCUUCCUUGGAAAAAGGAAAAUCAGCUCAUGCCGAGAACUUCCUUAUCUCCUCGGCCCCUUGAGAAACCGGACAGGAGAAAGAAACCAUUUUGCCCUUCCAAGACAAAGAAUUACCUUGGCACAGGGGCGCCUACACUUUGGUGGAAGGAAAUAUGGCAGUGCAGCAGAAGGCAAGGGGGGAGCACACCCAGCCCUACAAAGUGGGAAAGGAGAAGACACAUCUCAAUACAUAUCCGUGCAGGAGAGGCCUCAAAGUUUGCAGUGGGGAGGGGGAGCUUCUUGGAAGGACUGUCUCUGUCUAGCUUUCAGGAAGGUCUCUUUCUGCUUCUACAUCAAUGCCGUUGUGAUGGAAGCCGGCCGAUCCCAUUCAUGCAACUCUGGACCAUUGACUCGUCCUUCUUCAAGGACCAGGUCACAAGUCACAGGGUAUGCAAGCAUUACACUAGCAGGAUCCUACCCCAGAGAGGACCUUCUCAACCAUUUUUCCAUCAUCCUGGACAGGAAGACGAGAAAUGUAGGAAGUUCUUGGCUGCGUACAGAGUGGAUAUCCAUGAAGGGGGACAGGGUGAAAGCAAGCAUGUGCUGCCAUCAGCCAACCAUCAAAAGAUGUUAAGUGCCACGAAAUUUUUGAGUAACUCAACAGAGGACGUGACAAAUUGGGCCUUUUCCGAUAUGGCUGAUCCUCCAAUCUACUUUACUUGGGCCCCCAAAUUGGAUAGCAUCCCAAGGGAGACCCAGGGAAUUUCCGCAAGAUGCGUCUGCAGCAUUCUGGAAUCGGCUCAGCUCUGCCCAACCUCACAGAACUGGAUGGGUCUGGGAGCUGCCAACUUAUUGCUACCUCCACCGCAACCAACGCAGAAGUGCAUGGGAGCGCAUGUUUUCUUGAAACUGCAGAGCACUCCCACACUGGUUUCCCCACCCAAAUCUCUAUCACUGAGCUACGGACCAUCUUCCAAUGUUCUCCUUCUCCCCACCACCCAGAGAUUGCCAUGUUUUAAGCUGGAGCCACAUAGGUAAGUACAGGUAGUCCUCAAUUUACAAUAAUUCAUUUAGUGACCAUUAAAAAUUACAACAGCACUGAAAAAUGUGACUUAAGGCCAUUUUUCACAGUUAUGACCUUUGCAGCAUCCUCAUGGUCAUGGGAUCAAAACUCAGAUUCUUGGCAGCUGCUUCAUAUUUAUGACAGUUGCUGUGUCUCAGGGUCACGUGACCCCCUUUUGCGAACUUCUCACAAGCAAAGUCAAUGGGGAAGCCAGAUUCACUUAACAACCAGGUUACUAACUUAACAACUGCAGUGAUUCACUUAACAAAUGUGGCGAGUUGUAAAAUGAGGCAACACUCACUUAAUAAAUGUCUCACUUAAAAAUAGAAAUCUGAGGCUCAAUUGUGGUCGUUAGUCGAGGACUACCUAUAUUGUAGCACGUUCUUUAAACUAUAUACGUCAGCACACACAGAAGGUGGCACUUUCUAUAAUAUCACAUAUUUUUCAAACUGAUUCUAGAAUAUAAAAUACCGCUCACAAAAUCAUUGGGUAUCAAUAGAAGGAAAUGCUUCCAAUCGUUUGUACAUAAAUUCUCAAGGUAAGCCAUCAUGAAGGCAACCUCUCCCUUAUUCCCCUCUCCACAAACGAUUGUGAUUUGUCGCUCCAUCUGAAAAAGGCAUUAAUCACAAUGCAAGAUCACUCAUCUGAAGAAGCCAUCAUCAACACCAAACUUUCUCCUAGUUUGGACCCAGUCGAGUAUGAAGAGCCUCCAGUGCUUAAAAAUGGCCUUCCCACCCAAGGCUCCCAAGGCCAGGUGGGCAGCUACUGUGGGCCAGGCGCCCAGCACAGACACGCACAGCUGCCGGAUGCCCCAGGCGCUUGUGGGGGAGGCGGCUGGUCAGCACAGUGCCAGCCUUAUUUGGGGGGGGCAGUAGAGAGAGAAGGAGAAAUGCUUGCCACCUCCAGUGGUCACUUGGGGAGCCUUUUCUUCUGCCCAGACUAGGGAGUUUCUGCUCAGAGCUGCUGGUGAGGAAGGGCCGACCUGGGUCGGGGUGGGGGAAGAGGAGAAGGACCACCUGACCCAUUCUUGGCAGAGUAAAAGACAGAGCUCAUGAAUCACAAAGUACCACAACCUUUACACAAUACUGCCUCAGUUUGGGGCCUCUCUGUUCCACAAAACAACACGGCACAAGGGUGCAUUCAGCAGGAUCUGUCUGUACCUGUUUGACAGCAGUUUUAAUUUUAUUGCUAAACUAAUUAAUUGGCCUGGGCCAGAAAUAUGCUCAAAUAAAGUCAUGGCUUGUUUUUGCAUGAAACAUUUAUUAAAUAAGCCACUAAGUUUAGACUGGAAUAGCCUACACUGUGAUAGUUCUCUCUCUCUCUCUCUCUCUCUCUCACACACACACACACACACACACAAACACACACACAAACACGGGAGUCUGAUGGCCAGCAUCCAUGGACACCUGAGCAAAUUUGAACCAGAAUGCCCCACUCUGUUGUUUGUAACCUCAGAUGUUCUCGCUUAGCCCUUUUAAUAAUAAUGUUUGAAAUUCUGGAAUGUUUUCUAAUAUUGUUCAUGCUAAGGUUUGCGUUUUAUUCUACAUCAUCCAAAGUUACCUUUUGUGUGAUGGGCAGAUCUGUAAGUAUAGGUAGCCUUCAAUUUACAAUUCAUUAACUUGACUGUUCAAGUUAACAGUCAAGAUAACAAGGGCACGAAAAAAAGUAACUUAUGGACCAUUUUCCCGUUCCAAUCUUUGUAGCAUCGCCAUGAUCAUGGGAUCCAAAUUCCAGAUGUUUGGCAACUGACUCAUAUUGAGGAUGGCCGCAGUGUUUUCUUCUCUUGUGACCUUCUGACAAGCAAAGUCAAUGGGGAAGCCAGAUUCACUUAAAAACAGGGUUACUAAGUUAACAACUGCAAUGUUUCAUUUAACAGCAAUUAAAUGUUGUUAAAUGAAAGAAAUGCAAAAUUCACUUAACAACUGUGUUGCUUAGCAACAGACAUUCUGGGCUCCAUUGUGGCCGUAAGUCGAGAACUACCUGUGUGAUGUAAUUGACAAAGCCCAAUAAAGUGAGGCAUGAGUACAUACAGAAGCCUGUUUGUUCCAUGUGUAACAGGUGCCAUCUCAUAUUCUCCCUCCCUCCAUGGAUCCCCCACAACCUCUGUCACAUGAAAACACAACUGGGCAAUAAUGGCUUUUGGGUCCCUGGAGGCCAAGGGACCCAGCUGCCCAUCCAGCUGUCUUUCGAGUACUGCCCCUGCUAACCCCUUGUAGUUAACCUCUCCUGGAUUUCCUCAUCCAGGCACGCAUGCCACUCCUCAAGCGCCCGCCCGCCAGUGCAAUGCCACGACGCUCUGGCAAGCCUGCCAACAUUUGCAAAUCUUAAAGGCUUGGCAGGAACAUAACAUAACAUAACAUGCAGGAACCUUGGAGGUCUUCUAGUCCAACCCCCUGCCCAGGCAGGAAACCCUACACCAUUUCAGAAGGAGCCUCAUGAAAGCCCGGGAGAGAGAGCAUCUCCACACUGAGUCCCCUCACGCAGCAAUCCCCAAAUGUGAGGAGGGGGAGCUCCAUCUGCCCACAGCAUAACCUCUCCCCCACUUGAUCAGGAACACCAGCUCUCCUCCCACACACACAUUGCCUCAACGAACACACAACUACAGAAAAGGGCUGCCAAGUGUAACUGCCUCCCCACCCCUCGCACAUACCCUGAGGGACAACCACACAGUGCGUGCAAGAUUGCAGCGGAGAUGAAGGCACAAAGGGUGGGGUGAGGGCGAGGUUCCUUGUGAGCCUCUGGAAAUUCACGGAGCAGCAAGCGAAGAGGGGAGACCACCUGCCCACCCAGCUGCCCCGCAGGCCACCCGCUGGAUCCCCUGGUCCUCACCUUUGAACUGGGAGCACCUUGGCUGCUGCUACCCUCAGGAAGUGGGAAAGGUUAGGAAUUCACAGCCGCCGCCACCCUCAGCUAACCGUGGCUUGCCUCAGUUAAUCUCUAAUCUGACUCACAUAGGGGCCUAAGAAUUAACUGGGGCAGGAGGAGCAUCGAGGACGAGGCUUAUAGGAACCCGUUAACCAAAAUGCCCUGUUCACUAUUACCGGCUCUGCCUGUGCUAGAUUGAAUGCUCGUUUCAGCUGACAAAGUCAACUUCAGGCAUCUCUAGGAUAACUUCCUCUUCCACAGAGGAUCAUCCUGGCCGGGGAUGCUGGGGGGCGGGGUUAAGCACACCAGGUGGACCCCGAAGACAUUGUCCUCCUUCAAGGAACCAUUUCCCCAGGAUACCUCUUGAGAUGGCUGUGAGCAUAGAACUGUCACGGUCAUGGUCUCGACUGCUUUCAGAUUUCAUGGCAGUAUAUUUUUAAUUUUGUGGCAAAUUUUUAAUUUUCAUUUUGACUGCAUGCCCCUAAGAAUUGGUUCUUGAUUUCAGCAGGUUGAAAAAUUAUUAAAUAAACUAUCCCCCUUGGAAUGCAGGUGUGAUAAGCCAACAACGAGACCGGGUCCAGUUCAGACACCAAGCACAACUAUGAGUAUUAACUCCAUUGUUAGGCAAUAUUAACAGAACCUUGCAAGACUUAAAGUACUUCCCUCCUCCACUCCUAGUCGCCAUAAAACUAGGAAGGAUUCCUUCUGUGAAGGAGGGGGUCAAGCUGUUCUCCAAAGCAGGGGUCUCCAACCUUGGUCCCUUUAAGACUUGUGGACUUCAACUCCCAGAGUCCCUCAGCCAGCAAAAUUAGCAUGUUCAGAUUCAAUAAAUUCAACAUUUCUAAAUAUUAAUGCAGCCCUUCAUUCCUUCUAAUGGCUGGUUGCAGUCAGCCAGAUUGAUUUGGCAUUUUUAUUGAGUCAUUCCCAAGAACCUGGGGUAGAUGAUGUUUUUUGAUGCUGUUAAAGAUAUCAUCACAAAAUCUGUUCCAAAUAUAGACGCCUUUUGCAAUUGACUGGUGGUGAUUUGGUCAAUGCCAAUGGUGUUUAAGUGAUGCUCCAGAUGUUUUUGGACAGCAGCCAAGGCAUCUAUUUCAUGAUUUCUCCAUUUUUUCCGGUCUUCUGCUGUCUCCCUGUAUUGCAAUAUCCAGUAUCCAGACUUCAAUCAACAUUGGUUAAGUCUGGAGUGUCAUGUGACAGAAGCCUAUCCAUUUAAAUUCUGAAGUCCCAGAGCACUUUAGCUUUUUCAUUUUCUAUUAGUUUGUUGUCCCACCAGUUCCUUCUUGCAGGCAAAUGGUAUUCCAAAGCACCAUUGUUGCUACUUUGUCAUAACGUUGUUUGUAGUCAAUCUGUGUGAUCUUCUUGCAACAGCUAACUAGAUGGUCCACUAUUUCUUCAGUUUCUUAUAGAAAUAGCAUUUGGUGUUUGUUGCCAUCUUCUCAACUCCUGCUUUGUAUGCAUUUAUUCUUAUCGUUUGGUCUUGUGCAUCCAGAAUUAGCCCCUUUGACCAGGGGUGAAAUGUAAAAUUCAUUACUACCGGUUCUGUGGGCGUGGGUUGGCAGGGGGUGGUAAUGUGACUAGGUAGGCGUGGCAACCUUUUUCUUUUUACUUUUAAAAGCAUUUUUUCUACAACCUCUUUGGCUGAAGAGGUUGUAAAAAAUGCUUUUAAAAGCCUCUGAUGAUCAGGCAACUCAGUUGGGAUCACCAGAGGAGCCUUUUAAAAGUAUUUUUUUCUACAACCUCUUUGGCCAAAGAGGUUGUAAAAAAUGCUUUUAAAGGGUUCUGACAAUCCCAGCUGAGCCGCGCAAUCAUCAGAGGCUUUUUUUUAAACUUUUAAAAGCAUUUUUUUUGGCCAAAGAAAAAAUGCUUUUAAAAGUAAAAAAAAACCCCGAUGAUCGCGUUGCUCAGCUGGGCAUGGGGGGGGGGGCAGAGAUUUUUGUUACCAGUUCUCCGAACCACCCACCGCCAUCGCUACCAGAUCAAGCGAUCCAGUCCAAACUGGGAGCAUUUCAUCCCUGCCUUUGACUCUUUCUUCAAAUUUUGGGCCCUUAGCCAUUGCCAGCUCUUGUUGGAGCCCUGCUGACACAGUAGUUAAAGGGCAGUAUUGCAGGCAAACUCUGCCCACAGUCAGAGGGGAGAGCCAGGCAGGUGGGCAGAGUGAACCGUGGUGGAGGCCCAGCGGGUCCCAUUUUCAUAUAGCCCACCACCAUGGGCUGUUCAGCGGCAGUGGUGCUCAGGCCAUUUGGGGGCAGUGGGUGAGGUGGCAGCAGAGGCUGGGCACAUCCCAUUUUCACAAACACAUUCACCACGGGCCAUCCCAAAGGAGUCCCUCUGGCUGCCAGUGGCAAGUUGUCCUUGCAGCGAAUUGGCCUUGUUGAGUUGUCCUGCAAUGAGUUUGCGGUGGUGAGUUGGCAGAGGCGACUUGGCAGUGCCAAGCUGGCAUCAGUGAGCUGGCCGGGCUGAGUUGACCCAUUCUGCUUGGAAAGGACUUGGCAGGAUGGUAAAAAUGCCAAAUCCAGUUUAAACAUCUGGCUGACUGUGUAACAAACUAUAAAGUAGUAACACUAGUAAUACCUUGGUUAGAAAUGUUGGAUUUUUAAAUAGUUUUAAUUUAACUGGUAAACCAUAAAUUUAAGGUCAAGGAAUUCAAUUUUGUUUUGGACGAUCAUAAAGUUUCUAAGAAAAGUUAUUACAGAGCUGGAGUGCCCUCUGUUCUUACAGAAAGAAAUUUAAUACAGUUGACAUCUGGACAGCAUUAAUUUAGGACCUAAUGAGAAUGUAACUCUUUUUUUUCAAUUCCUAUUUUUUCAGCAUUCAUUUGUUUAUUUGGAUUAGUUUUUAAUAUUCCAAGCUUUAGCGCAGGGGCUAGACAGUUAUUUUACAGGUUCUCUUAUAAUAUCCUGUUUGGAUGGUUUUUAGGAAGAAGAUGUCUAGCAAGCUUAAAAUUGUUUUUUUAAUGCAUCAUAAUCAGAUGUUUCCCAAAUUUUCUGACCACCAAUAAAAUACUUCAACUUUUUUUUCCCAAAUAACAAAUACAAAGACUGCUGAGGAUUUUAAAGUUUUUUACACAAUGGGGGUUUAGCAUCAUAGAAGAAGAAAGAAAAAAAAUCUGCCACUGAAAUCUGGAAAAGAAGAUUAAGGAAAAUUUGUUCAUCUAUGUGAAAAAUCAAAUUUGGAAUUCUAUAAUGGCUUUCAACAGAUUACACUGGAAUUUGAUCAACUGGCUGCACCUGAAGCGGAGGAGUUAAUGAGGUGUAUUAAAUGCUUGUGUUGGGAACUGACAGAAGAACCAGGAAAAAUGUUUGUUUCUCAAUUGAAAUCACAUAAUAGAUACAAUUAAAGACUCUGCAGAUAAAAUAUAUAAUGAGUCAGUGGAAAUUCUCACCUUUGGGAUUUUAUGUUCCCUCUCCCACACACUUUAUAGUUUGAAUUAAACAUACCUGACAAGAAGCUCCAAACUUUUUAAAACAAAAUACAUUUUCUAAUACAAACUCAGCUGAAGGAUUCUGAGGCAUCUUUGAUGCUGCAGAAGUAUUAAACAAUCCAGGAGGGCUCCUGGGACAGGUUUCUUACAGUGUGAGGCAGGGAUGAAAUCCAGCAGGUUCUGACAGGUUCUGGAGAACCAGUAGCAGAAAUUUUGAGCAGUUCGGAGAAUUGGCAAAUACCACCCCCGGCUGGCUCCAAAGUGGGGUGGGAAUGGAGAUUUUACAAUAUCCUUCCCCCAGGAGUGAGGAGGGAAUGAAAAUUUUGCAGUAGCCUUCCCCUGCCACGCCCACCAAGCCACACCCACUAAGCCAUACCACGCCCACCAAGCCACGCCCACAGAACCGGCAGUAAAAAAAUUGAAUUUCACCACUGGUAUGAGAGGAGAUCUAUAGAACAGCUAUUUUAAGAUUGGACAAACUGUGAUUUGUCAUCCAAUUCUGACUCUGCCAAAUAAGAUCUCUGACAAGUAAUUCAUUCAACUUAAAUGCUGUCACGUUUGUUAUUGGCGGCACCCUUAGUCACAUGACAUUUUAUGACACUUUUGUUGAAAGUUAUUUCCUGUUUUCGGCAACACCACUCAUAGCAAACAAUGGGUUUGCUUAACAACUUAGCCACAGAAAUGGUCGUAAAAUAGGGUAAGGCACAUGACUGACCCAAUUUAUAAUCAUAAUGGACAGGCUCCAUUAUGAUCACAUGUUGGGGACUACAAUAAUGGCAGGAUAAAAGCCAGAUUAAAUAAUAAAUUAUGUUUUCAGAUGCACAAUAAAUAUAAAUAAAUCUAAUAUCCUUUGUGGGGGGUGCUUUCAAAUCCUGGACUAUCCCUCCCAGUUUUCUUGCAAUCAGAAUCCCUACGUCAAUUCUACUUUGAUACUUUAAACAAACUAGUAAGCUAAUCAUUCAUUUUUUUAAUGGAAUGACCAGAUCACCAAAUUUUCUUUUUAAACUGAGGUUCCCAUAUGUGAGGGCUUCCAUUUGAAUCAUUGGACUUAUAUAUCAAUGUGCUAUUAUUUGGACUGUAAAUGAGACUGUAACGUAUGCAACUGUUAUGUUUCUAUUAGAAGCCUCUAAAUUCUUGGCACAUAUUAUGUCCCAGUUAUCCUGGGAAUUGUUUGUGUUCCUAACAUUAAAGGCAACCUAACAUAUGUGAAUGUUACUGGGUAAUAAAUCUGAUUUAUUCUCUCAUGAAAAUGUGACUCUAAAACAUUUUUAAAGGCUGAAAAUUAGUUUAGCACACAGUCAACUUACUGCUAAGUAUACCUUCAAAGCUAUAUACAAGGUAACUUGUAAAACUGUGGAAUGGCAAUAAAUUCCAUUAAAACAUUUAAUGUAUUUUCACUUUGGAGUGAUGCACUGUCAGCUAGAGAAAACUCCAAUGAUUUUGGAUGUAAAACAUUUACAAUUUUAAAAAAUAGAUGUUUAUGAACUAAAAAUAUAUAGCAGGAAUAAUUACAAAUUAAACAAAACCUUCAGUAAAGAAUCGGAGUAUUUGUUUUUAACAAGUCAAUGGUCUUAGUUUGUAAGAAAAACAUUCAACGUAUGUUUUAUGAUCGUAAGAUUGAUUUAUUUCAUGUAUAGAUCAUUGCAUCUCUAAGGACUUACAAGAAAAGGAUGCACAAUAAACAAUGUAUGACAAAAAUUAAAAAGCCCAGAAACCCAUCAAAAACAGAAUGAAACAAGCUACAGUUAACCCAACCAAGAUGCAGUCGUAGCCCUAACAUCCUCCAUGACAGCUCAAUUUUGAGAAGCUUCCAGAAUGCAACUGGCUAUGCAAAGGAGUGGAGCUCCCACCAAGAAGACAGUGCCACCGAGCUUCAAACACACACACACAUACAUAUAGAGCUGCCUAAAGUGCAGCAAGACUAGCAGCUUCUCCCAGGUAAAUCAAAUUGUCUAGGCCAAUUCCAAGGGUAGAAUUCAUGGAAGCGAAGCAUCAAACCACGGAAGGCUUUAUAGGCAAGCACACCACUCUGGGUUUCAUUCAGAAAACUACUGGCAAGCAGUGUAUGGUCCACAGCACCAAUGUAAUAUGCGCCUAUCAGCAAAUGCCAAUUCCAUUAGCAUACUCUGAAUGAACUGCAGUCUCUGAGUCAUCUUUAAAGGUGCAGUUCUACCCAGAGCAUGCUAAAGUAAAAUAACAGAGUUGGAAGGGACCUUGGAGGUCUUCUAGUCCAACCCCCUGCUCAGGCAGGAAGCCCCAUACUAUUUCAGACAAAUUGUUGUCUAAUCUCUUCUUAAAUUUUUUCAGUGUUGGAGCAUUCACAACUUCUGGAGGCCAGCUGUUCCACUGGUUAAUUGUCCUCACUAUCAGGAAAAUUCUCCUUAGUUCUAGGUUGCUUCUCUCCUUGAUCAGUUUCCAUCCACCGCUUCUUGUCCUGCCCUCAGGUGCUUUGGAGAAUAGCUUGAUUCCCUCUUCUUUGUGGCAAAGUCUGAACAGGCGGCCCAAGAGUGUGAGUCACUCUAGCAAAGUCCUCCCACUGUCUAUAGUUUCCCAUCUGCUGCUCUAAAAGGAGCCAGGAGUUCAGAAUGAAGUCACACACGAGCUCCUUCAGGAGUACCGACAUCCCAGCAAGGGACACCACUGGAGCAGAAAACCACAAAGGCAGACAAAGCAACACCUACUGCGAUUAGCCACUGAGCAAGAACUAAAAUUACUGCCAUACAGAGCCCGAAUCACCAAAGGGGGCCCAUAAGAAUACCACGUUCAAACAUUGCUGAGUGUUCUUAAAAGGAUCUUGGUGGAUCCACUCUCCUGAUCUAGGUCCCAGCCGAUGUCCUUCACUAGUGCCACCAAGGCCAUCUCUCCUACAUAUCCAGAGGAAGGUUGGAGACCAGAAGGAGUCUCCAACCGUGGCAACUUUAAGACUUGUGGACUUCAAUUCCCAGAAAGCUGGCUGAGGAACUCUGGGAGUUGAAGUCCACAAGUCUUAAAGUUGCCACGGUUGGAGACCCCUGAUCUAAACACUUGCCCCUCCACCAGAAGCUAGGAGAAACAGAGAUUCAGCCUGCAGGGAAAAUCUUAAGAGAACCUCCAAAUCACUUUCCCAAAUCAUAGCUCAAAAGAAAUCUGGGUAACCAAGUAAGUCCAUCAUCCUGGAUCCUACCCUGAAGAGGUGAACAAAUCUGGGCAACCCUGGCAGCAAAAUGAUCAUAGCAACCUGAUCAUUGACCAUAGCAGCCGACAAGGAGAUUUGGGAAGAUGCUGGUUCUUCCUUAGCAGAGAACUGGCUUUCCUGCUGGCAUGCCAAAAGAACAGCAAUGAUGCAUCAACCCUCUUAUCGGCACAGGGUAUGCCCACCAAAGGUAGGCACAUACUAAUACAUGGUCAGGUUCACCUCUUUUCUUCUCCUUGGCACUGGAGGUGCCGCUUUUGAUGCGUCAUCUCUGCUCAGCUACCUCAAAGCCACCACCAGCUACCUGGAUCUUCCCCACUGCUAUGAGCGAAGCUGGUUCUGUGCCCAGAGGCUGACAAGCAAGAGAUCUAGUCCCCUUUACGUUAUUUGCCCCUGAGAUAGGAUGAACAGAAUAACAAAGGAAAAUUGAAGAAAGGAGCCAGAAAAUUAAGAUAUUAACAGAAAAAGCUGCCCCUUGUUGCUCAAAAGUCUUCUUCCUUGACUUUCCUCAAAAGGUAAAAAGAUGCCCUCAUUCAAACGUUAGCAAGUCAACAAUGUACUGUUGAUGAUGGCUGCUUCCAGUGUGAUAGCUACAACUCUACUAUAUUUGAUUUCAGCCCAGAAAAAUGCCAGUCCAUAUUUAAGAUGCACAGAACCAGGGAAUAGGUGCUGACGGCCAACGCCAUCUUUUAGCAAGAUCGAUGGUGCUCAUUACAUGACUGUUUUUUUGUUUUCCCACAACAAACUCAUGGCCCUCAUCAGGUGGUUUCCCAUUAAGACCUUCCCCAAGUGUAAGACCGUUUCCACAUCCGCCGCCUCCGACAUUUCAGGAAUGGUGCAAGAUUUGUUCAGUUCUGCCUACGAAGAGCAGAUGCACCCUUCUUUCUAGGGUUUUCACGGAACCGAGCUAGAGAGGGAGGUCUUGGGCAGAAGAGCCCCAGCUGGACCUCCAACCCAAGGACAGGUGAAUGGGGGAGUUUAGUUUCAAAUUUAUUCAAAUUUGUAUACCGCCCUAUCUCCCUAGGGACUCAGGGCGGUUCACAGGCAGAUAAAAUACAUAUAAAUACAAGAUAAAAUGUCCGUUAAAAAACUUAUUAAAUAUAGCCCGAUAAUUAAAACAAUAUAUAUAAAACCCAUUUAAAAUCUAAAUUUAACAAAUUAAAAAAAACCUAAUCCAGCCCUGCGCAGACAAAUAGAUAGCCUUGGAAGAUGGGCCUGCCCAGGAGAGUUUCGGUAAUCCCCUCCCCAUUCUGCAAGGGGGAGAGGGAGACCCUGCCCUCUGUUUUAACAAGGCAUUUGCUACAGAUGAAGAGUGAGCUACUCAAGAAAGAAGCUCCCGGUGGAAACCCUGGCAGCAAAGCCAAGGGCAGCCCAUAAGCAAGAGCCGGCCAGGUCUGCCCAACUCCAAUCUGCCCGUCCUGAGAGCCUUCGGGACCUGAAACCCAACCGCAGCGGGAUCUCCCUGUCCUCCCCACCCCCCACCCACCCCCUUGGGGAUCUCGCCUGUAAGUCAGGCUAGGAACACAAAGCUCUCCCGCUCCACCCGGGCUCUGAGCAAGACCCGCCGAAGGCGACCGAGCAACUCCGGCCUCUUGGGUUACUGACCAGCCCUGCCCCGAGAUUAGAGCCGGGGUGGGCGGCGGGGGGGGGAGCAAUGGCUGGAAUGCGCCCGCAGCCAAUCAGCCGGCAGGAGAGGCCGGAGGCGAAGCCGACCGAAGGGAAAACAAGGCGCAGGUUUCGGAAUGUUUGGCAACAUUGUCUCUCCCUCGCUCGGCUGGCGAUGACGCGCCGGCAGCCCUUGGCCGACCGCGAGGGGUUAACCGCGGGAUCCUGAGUGGAAGCGAAGGCGGCGGCGGCAUGUUUCUGUAGUAUCAGCAGUUUGGUCUCCGGCGGAGGGGGAAGGCGAGGGGGACGGAGCCGGAGAGCCGCCCUGCUUGCGGGCCAGGCAAACGCUCCACAACGGGCGCUUCUCCCAUCAGGGGCUCCGGGCCACCCUCGAUCCCAAAGGGCGGCAGCUCCUCGCCUCAACUGGGGCAGAGCGAAGUUUUUACAGAAGUUCUUCCCCCGUUAAAAAAAAACAAAAAAAAACCACCAUUCCUAAAAGAGGCCUCGCUCCGUCGAGCCUUAAGCGAGAAGCCGCAGCGAGCCCUUCGCCUCGAACGCGAACUCCAAGCGAACCGCCCGGGUUUCUGCCAUCCCGGCCAGCUCCGAACGGAACCCCCAAGGAGCGGCAGGCGGAUUCUCUCGCGCGCAUCUCAUUCCGAGCGUUUCACGGCGUAAAAGCCCCGCAACCCCACCGAAGUGCAGUAACACAAAGCGAGCCCCGUUCAAAGAAAGGCUUGGCCGGCAUUUGCUCCAGCCCAGCCGCCCAAACUCCCCCGUCCGUCCACAGGCAGCGUUUCCGCCAGUCGCAGCCCGUGAAGUCGCACAUGGAUGCUCAGAAAGGGGCCGAUGGAAUCCGAAGCCACGACGGUCCCGCAGAGCCUUUUCCUCCAAGGGCUGCUUACAAAAGGAGACGAAACGCGGCUCUUGGCGGCGGCUUCCAGGGGGGCCCCGAAGGGCUCUCUCUCCCCGGGCACCAGCGCCGCUCUCCGCCCGGAAAGGCUGCGGAGGGCAUCCCGGGAACCCGGAGCCGCUUCCCCCUCCCAAGGGAUUUGCCGGCCGCUCUGCCCGGACGGAGGCCGAGGGACACGGACACGCUUUCAGUCCCCCGCCCGGUCCGCGCUCGACCAAGGCAGCCGCCGCCGCCCGCACCGGCCCUCCCCGCCCGGGAACCCGAGCCAGGACCCUCUCCGGGGCGUUUCGGGGCAGCCGCCCGGCCGAGGGUCUGCGGGGAAAGGCGGCCUCCACCCGGGGGCUAUUUUGGGCGGCGCUGUUUCCCCCCGGGGACCGAGGCAGCUGCGGGGCCGGGCGGGGCGACGGCUGGACGGGCCCCGAAGGCGCCUCGGCUGCCCACCCGCGCCGGAGGGCGCCCCCGCUGCAGCCCCGGAGCCCCUCCGUCCC